AUUGUACGCUGGCGGCAGGCUUAACACAUGCAAGUCGAGCGGGGGAAGGUAGCUUGCUACCGGACCUAGCGGCGGACGGGUGAGUAAUGCUUAGGAAUCUGCCUAUUAGUGGGGGACAACAUCUCGAAAGGGAUGCUAAUACCGCAUACGUCCUACGGGAGAAAGCAGGGGAUCUUCGGACCGUGCGCUAAUAGAUGAGCCUAAGUCGGAUUAGCUAGGUGGUGGGGUAAAGGCCUACCAAGGCGACGAUCUGUAGCGGGUCUGAGAGGAUGAUCGACCACACUGGGACGGAGACACGGCCCAGACUCCUACGGGAGGCAGCAGUGGGGAGUAUUGGGCAAUGGGGGGAACCCUGAUCCAGCCAUGCCGCGUGUGUGAAGAAGGCCUUAUGGUUGUAAAGCACUUUAAGCGAGGAGGAGGCUACUUUAGUUAAUACCUAGAGAUAGUGGACGUUACUCGCAGAAUAAGCACCGGCUAACUCUGUGCCAGCCGCCGCAGUAA
rnacentral:rRNA from 1 species